rnacentral:lncRNA from 12 species
GGGACAUGGCUCUGUAUUUUAAAUUUUUUAAUUUUUUUAAAGAUUUUAUUUAUUUAUUUCAGAGAGAGAGGGAGAGAGUGUGCGCACAAGUGUGGAUAUGGGUGGCGGGGUGGGGGUGGGGGAGAGGGAGAAGCAGGCUCCCUACUGAGCAGGGAGCCUGAGAUAAGGCGCUCAAGGACUGAGCCCUGCAGGCACUGAGCCCUGUUUGGUUCUUCUUGGCAGCCACAUCUGUGAGGACCUUGAGAAGAUCACCUCUUUGGUGGCUGAGGAGACUUCUUACAUUAUUCCCUACUUGUGGAAAGGUGGACCGCAUACGGAGAAGCUUCGGGCCCAGCAAACCCUGAACCCAUCCUGCUCCUGUGGCCGGGGAUUGGCGCUGAGGCCCAGAGGAGCCCGGAGAUGGCACUGGGUCCCAGGGAAAGGCCAUGCCCUGCUCUGCGCUGAGCAGUGUGCAUCUCUCCCAGGUGGGCAGGCUCACACGCUGUCACCCCCGCUGCCCUACAGCCUGCUCUUACCCGAGGAUGUCUGGGAUGCCCGGAACAGAUGCCGUCUCUUUCCUAUGGGUCUUUCACUUCCAGAACAGGCCCAGCUGGAACUGGGGGCCGGGGGUCCAGGGAUCAGGAGGCGGGCAGAAGUGGUGACCCCACACUCCCAGCAAGCUGGGCGGGGCCGAGGUGAGCUCAAUCUUGGGUUCCCAGUUUGGCCCAGCUCCAGCCAGCUUCUGGCUACAGCCUCCCCCGCCCCCCGACUCCCCAGCAAUGAUGGCCCAGUGCACAGAGACGUCCCAGCUUUUGCCGUCAGGACAGAUAAACAGUCGGCCUGCUGUUUAUUCCUGCUGAGACCACCAGGCCCCUCUCUCUGGAGCUGGGGCAGCAGCUCACAAUGGUGAUGAGAGAAGCCCUUCAUCUGCCUGGGCUGUGAGAUCUGCUGGUCGCCACCCUGGGUGUUGGGGGGAGGGGUGGUGGGGUGGGACCCAGAGGUCGCAGUCUCUGAGCCAAGCCUGGCAUUCAGCUCCAGAGAGGAGCCACCAGGCCCCAGGGAGUAGGGGAGGGGUGCUGGGCCUCCUAUGGCCUCUUGGGUCAGGGGCUGGGUGUGGGAGCAUGCAGGUUGGGAGUGUGGAUGCUGGUCUGUGGUGGAGUCAGGCCUAGAGCCGACAGAGGGGUGGGCAGGGUGGGGAGACAGCUUCCAGGGACAGGCCCCGUAGUGUACAGGAAGGGGGACCCCUAGACCUGGCCCAAACCCAGAUGCCUGCAGCUGGCACCUCUCCCUCAGUGCCCCUGCUGGCUUCUGCCCACCCGCCGCUUUAGGAGGUCUGAUGGGAUGGGAGGCAGUGUCUGGGCCCCAGGGUCUGAGGUCCUCCUCAGCCCCUUCCACUGCCAGGCAGUGCCCCUAGGGCACCCCAGUCCAGGCAGCCCUAGCCCAGGCAGCCUGUGGAGGGAAGAGCUCCAGGAAGGGCCAGUGAGCAUGCUGGUGCUCCAUGUCCUCAUAUCUCCUCCGGGCAGUGGGCGAGGAUGCCCUGAUAGCCUCACCCACAGAUCACUGUCCCUGUGGGGGACUCAGUUUCCUUCCCAGUGAAGCAGGUUAGUGGUACUGACUCUGUGCCCGUAGGGGUCCGGGACACCAUCCUCUGGAGCCCAGGGCUUGCUGGCUCAUUGUUUGUGCUCAGUGGAGGUGGCUCUGCCUGCCUUGGCCAGCACCCUUGUAGGGCCAGGUCGGCAGCGCUGACUGGGUGGAGGGCAUCUGCGGUCUCAGCUUCCACGGCCCCCCACCAUCCAAGGCCUGUGGCCCUGGGAUCCUGAGCUGUUCUGAGAGUGGCCUCCUGGGG